UACAGAGGUCCCAAGCGUUGUUCGGAUUCAUUGGGCGUAAAGCGCACGUAGGCGGACUCUUAAGUCGGUGGUGAAAUCCUGGAGCUCAACUCCAGAACUGCCUUUGAUACUGAAGAUCUUGAGUUCGGGAGAGGUGAGUGGAACUGCGAGUGUAGAGGUGAAAUUCGUAGAUAUUCGCAAGAACACCAGUGGCGAAGGCGGCUCACUGGCCCGAUACUGACGCUGAGGCACGAAAGCGUGGGGAGCAAACAGG
rnacentral:rRNA from 1 species